ACCUGGGCUCAAAUGUAUGUUGACGUAUUCUGAAAGGGAUACUUCUUCGGACAAUAUACAAGGUGCUGCAUGGUUGUCGUCAGCUCGUGCCGUGAGGUGUCGGGUUAAGUCCCAUAACGAGCGCAACCCCUAUCAUUAGUUGCCAUCAGGUCAAGCUGGGGACUCUAAUGAAACUGCCUACGCAAGUAGUGAGGAAGGUGGGGAUGACGUCAAAUCAGCACGGCCCUUACGUCCAGGGCUACACACGUGCUACAAUGGCCGGUACAAAGGGCAGCUACCUGGUGACAGGAUGGCUAAUCUCAAAAGCCGGUCUCAGUUCGGAUCGGAGUCUGCAACCCGACUCCGUGAAGCUGGAUUCGCUAGUAAUCGCGCAUCAGCCACGGCGCGGUGAAUACGUUCCCGGGCCUU
rnacentral:rRNA from 1 species